GACGAACGCUGGCUGCGUGCUUAACACAUGCAAGUCGAACGCUGAAACCCCGGUGCUUGCACCGGGGUGGAUGAGUGGCGAACGGGUGAGUAACACGUGAGUAACCUGCCCCCGACUUCGGGAUAAGCCCGGGAAACUGGGUCUAAUACCGGAUAUGAGCGCCCCUCGCAUGAGGGAUGCUGGAAAGUCUUUUCGGUUGGGGAUGGGCUCGCGGCCUAUCAGUUUGUUGGUGAGGUAAUGGCUCACCAAGACGACGACGGGUAGCCGGCCUGGGAGGGCGAACAGCCACACUGGGACUGAGACACGGCCCAGACUCCUACGGGAGGUAGCAGUGGGGAAUAUUGCACAAUGGGGGAAACCCUGAUGCAGCGACGCAGCGUGCGGGAUGACGGCCUUCGGGUUGUAAACCGCUUUCAGCAGGGAAGAAGCCCCUUGGGGUGACGGUACCUGCAGAAGAAGUACCGGCUAACUACGUGCCAGCCGCCGCCGUAA
rnacentral:rRNA from 1 species